GGCGCUAGUGGCCGCAAGCGGACGGAUUAUUAAAAAAUAAGCGAUCUAACCCAUUGAAAUGAAGCCAUGGCGCGCUGCCUGUUAAUCAGGGGCGUUGGUUCAAGUCCAACUUCGGGCGCCA
rnacentral:tRNA from 1 species